rnacentral:misc_RNA from 1 species
CCAGAACGAGGCCGUGACGUCACGACAUAGUAACAGUGAAGCUAAAAUGGGUUUACUGGAUCUUCUACGUAAACUACGAUCUAGUCCUGAUCAGGAACUUCGAAUCUUACUACUAGGUCUUGAUAAUGCUGGCAAAACAACUAUAUUAAAGUCAUUAGCUUCUGAAGAUAUCAGUCACAUAACACCCACACAGGGUUUCAACAUAAAAAGUGUGCAAUCACAGGGUUUCAAGUUGAAUGUGUGGGAUAUAGGCGGCCAGAGAAAAAUUAGACCAUACUGGAAAAACUAUUUUGAAAAUACAGAUGUUUUAAUUUAUGUUAUUGACAGUGCAGAUAAAAAGAGGUUAGGAGAGUCUGGUGAGGAACUAGAAGAACUUUUAGAAGAAGAAAAAUUAGCAGGUGUACCAGUUUUAAUAUUUGCUAACAAACAAGAUCUUAUAAAUGCACUACCUGCAUCUGAAAUUGCUGAUGAGAUGAAACUUACGCAGAUAAAGGACAGGAAGUGGCAGAUUCAACCAUGUUCUGCUAUUAGUAGUAAACCAGAGGAGAGUGGUGUUCCAGAGGGAUUCCAAUGGAUGGCAAAAAAUAUUCCAAAAGGAAAGAAAGGAAAGUAGAACUUUGUUUUAAUCUAUAUGGGAAAAAUGAAUGAAAUGGAAUCCGCUGAUCUAAAGAUAGUGCUACAAAAGACAGCUGGUAAAAGACUGGAGAUAUAGAAAAACACGAGUAGCUCACACUGAUCUCUCCUGGAAUAUUUUGGCUAUGUAAUGACAUUUUUUUAAACUGACAUGAGCAGCAUAUAUUAGAAUUGAAAGCAGUUCCAUUCCUAAUUGGUGUAUAUAUUCCAUAUUUUGAUGCGUGGUGUAAACUGAAUCUAGCUAUACAUAUCUAAAUAUGAAAUGUAUUUGCUCAAUCUAACAUUAUAUUGGCAUUGCCCUAUUUUUGUAAUGGGGGAGCAAAGUCACUAUGGGCAAUUAGCUAGAUAUAACACUCGAAGCUGGACAAGAAUACAGAUUCUUAAUAUUAUGUGUUGUAUAUUGUACACACAAUUGAAAAGUGAAACUAAUGAGAUGGAUCUUUAUAUCAUUACCACCAUCUAUAGUUCACUCUUGACUGCUUAUAUUAGUAGGAAGCCUGAAAUACCAGAUUUAUCUUGAUGUGGUACAUCUUAUAUUUUGACUUGCUUAAACCAUUUUAAUGUUCCAUUCUGUCACAUCCCAUAUUUAUCAAAAUGCAGCUAGUCUUAUAAGAAAAGUGUGGAAUUUCAAAAUGGAUCCACAUGCUAUGAGUCUAU